AUGCCGCGGUGAAUACGUUCCCGGGCCUUGUACACACCGCCCGUCACACCACGAGAGUUUGUAACACCCGAAGUCGGUGGGGUAACCAUUUGGAGCCAGCCGCCUAAGGUGGGACAGAUGAUUGGGGUGAAGUCGUAACAAGGUAGCCGUAUCGGAAGGUGCGGCUGGAUCACCUCCUUUCU
rnacentral:rRNA from 1 species